UACGGGGGGGGCAAGCGUUGUUCGGAAUUAUUGGGCGUAAAGAGCUCGUAGGUGGCUUGUCGCGUCUGCCGUGAAAGCCCAUGGCUUAACUGCGGGCCUGCAGUUGAUACGGGCAGGCUAGAGUUCGGUAGGGGAGACUGGAAUUCCUGGUGUAGCGGUGAAAUGCGCAGAUAUCAGGAGGAACACCGGUGGCGAAGGCGGGUCUCUGGGCCGAUACUGACGCUGAGGAGCGAAAGCGUGGGGAGCGAACAGGAUUAGAACGUACCGUAGUCAGUC
rnacentral:rRNA from 1 species